GGGUGGUGGCAACACCCAUAGCAAGGACCAGAGCAAGCACGGAGAAAACGGAUCGCUUCAUCUGGAGAGAAGGAAAACAGUUAUUAAGUUAGCAACUAUCAACUUAUGAUGGGUUCACCAACCAAACAUUAUGGUAUAUCUGAGAAUUGACUGUAACUACCAAAUUAGGUAAAAAAAAAAAAAAGAUGAACGAAUAAACAUAACAAAUGAACCGCUUUGAGAUGCUAUGGCAUAUCACGCAUGGUCAUGCACUAUUUCAUGUUUGGAACAAUUUACGAUGUACAAAUGUCCAUCUUUGAUUUUAAAAAAUCGUAAACGUUCGUCAUAAAUCUUUUUAAGCAGAAAAUUAAAAAAAAAAUUAAAGUGAAAUGUUUUUUUUGGUGUAAAAUGUACUGGAGAUGAGUAAAUACUAACCUUCACAGUCAAAGGCGUUCUGCAAGGAUUCUCAGUUCCCCCACUGCUAUUUAUACUAGACUUACACGUAAUUCAAAUCCGGAAAAAAGUCAUGACCUUUUUGUCACCUUGCAAGUAACAGGAGCCAGUGUUUCCAGAUCGUGGGAGCCUCUUGUCGAAAUUCACCUCAACAUUGUGUAACACGCGCAUAAGUUUGUGCAGGGGUGACGCGGGGUGCGUUCAGAUUUCCUAAAUGACACGGAACCAUCCGUUGGCCUCGGGAGACGGUCUUACGCAAUGUGUAUGUUUAUCUUGUGUUUAUUGGUCUUUAUGUAAUUCACCCUACCCCGCUUAUCUUUGAAAUUUACUUAUAUAAAUUUCCAUAAAAAA
rnacentral:sRNA from 1 species